GCCGAUGUGGCUCAGUGGCAGAGCAGCGCACUCGUAAUGCGCAGGUCGCCGGUUCAAAUCCGGCCAUCGGCUCCA
rnacentral:tRNA from 1 species